rnacentral:rRNA from 1 species
UCCUGGCUCAGGAUGAACGCUAGCUACAGGCUAACACAUGCAAGUCGAGGGCAGCAUGAUCGAAGCUUGCUUGAUGAUGGCGACCGGCGCACGGGUGAGUAACGCGUAUCCAACCUUCCCUAUAGUAGAGAAUAGCCCGGCGAAAGUCGGAUUAAUGCUCUAUGUUGUAUUUAGAAGACAUCUGAAGAAUACCAAAGGUUUACCGCUAUAGGAUGGGGAUGCGUCUGAUUAGGUAGUAGGCGGGUAACGGCCCACCUAGCCGACGAUCAGUAGGGGUUCUGAGAGGAAGGUCCCCCACAUUGGAACUGAGACACGGUCCAAACUCCUACGGGAGGCAGCAGUGAGGAAUAUUGGUCAAUGGACGGAAGUCUGAACCAGCCAAGUAGCGUGCAGGAUGACGGCCCUAUGGGUUGUAAACUGCUUUUAUAUAGGGAUAAAGUCGGGGACGUGUCCCCGUUUGUAGGUACUAUAUGAAUAAGGACCGGCUAAUUCCGUGCCAGCAGCUGC